rnacentral:snRNA from 1 species
UUUUUUUAUCUAUAACCA